UACGGGGGGUGCAAGCGUUGUCCGGAAUCAUUGGGCGUAAAGAGUUCGUAGGUGGCACGUUAAGUCUGGUGUUAAAGGCGGAAGCUCAACUUCCGUAGGGCACUGGAUACUGGCGAGCUUGAAUGCGGUAGAGGUAAAGGGAAUUCCUGGUGUAGCGGUGAAAUGCGUAGAUAUCAGGAGGAACAUCGGUGGCGUAAGCGCUUUACUGGGCCGUAAUUGACACUGAGGAACGAAAGCCGGGGUAGCAAAUG
rnacentral:rRNA from 1 species